rnacentral:lncRNA from 1 species
CAUGGAUUGAACCUGUGUCCUCAUGGAUACUCGUCAGAUUCAUUUCCACUGAGGUACGACAGCAACUCCAAGUAUAUGUUACUUUUGCUCUUCCCCUCUCCUCGUUUCUUCAGUCACUACCCAGGAGUGCUACCUCAGCAAACUCUAGAGUACUUGGCUUUUCAAAGCUGUUUUUAAAUCAAGUUCAAGUCACAUCGAGGCUUAUUUAUUUUUUCUACUGUGUUUCACAUGGAUGAUGAUUCCAUUCCUUCUGCACCUCUUUACUCUCAUUUUCUCAGACACAACUUGCUCUGGGCCCUCCUCCAUACUGAGCACAGUUAUCCAAAAUUCCUCAAGUGUCUUUCCACUCUGCUGGGAGGCAGUACAGUGGUUCUGAGUACAGGAUGUGGAGCCAGACCACCUGAACAUGAAUCUAGACUCUGAACUUAAUAGCUCUCUGACCUUGGGCUAGUUAUAAACCUCCCCUGACUAGGCUUUUAAACCACAACCAUUAUGAAAUGUGAAAGUUCACUGGUCAAGGCAGACACACAGGAAAUGUAGGAAAUCAUCCACACAUUAAGUAUAUUAAUACCAGUAAUUGUGAGAGAAGGCAGGUACAAAUGCAGGCUAUUUAAAAUGCAUCUGAAAUUAAGAUAUCAGAAACUUAAAACAAUCAUAUGUAUAUACAUAAAAUCUGUAUGUGUGUGUAUAUGUAUCUAAAUUUUGAGGUUAAAAUUCCUUCUCAAAAUAACCAGGUAACCAGGUAUCUAUCACAUUUCUUGCACUGUGUACAAUCAAGUCACAGCAUUAGAAAUUGGUGUCCAUUGUUCUGAGGAACCUGUAUACAAUGAGCACAAGGGACACAUGAUUUUCAAGAUCAAAACCUCAUGGUAACUGCUAACCAAAAAUCUCUUAUUAGAUAUACACACAAAAUAGAUAUAUACACAAAAAGUCAAAAGGAAUUCAAAUACUAAAGAUAAUCAUUAAAUCACAAAGAGAUAAGAAAAACGCUCCUCCAGUAUACCCAAGAACUUGUGCUUUGAACAUGCAUGCUUCCUUGUUCCCAGAUCCUAAACAAGGUGCUACACUAGCUGCACAACCCUCCAGGCAAUCAGAUCAGAAUUCAAAGAACCUGGAGCAGCGCUGAGACCUAUACGUUCACCUGAGAAUAUGAUUCCCUCUAUGAGAAACAUAAUUGUAACUACCAUUUAAUUAAGCAUCUACUAUUUGAGUUCUCUAUUAGACCCUGAACAUGCAUUUUCAUUUGUCUUGGAAGACCGUUUGAGGAUAAAGUUACUCAAGGUCACAUAAACCUGGCUUGGAUUCUAGAACCCAUGUUCUUUCUGUAGCACUGCUUUUGGAUACAGGCAUAUCCACUGGGUCUCCAAGUUAAUAUGGCAGUUUCCCCCUUGGGGGUUCUAGGCCUGUUCUGAACGUAGGCAGGCUUGACUGAGGCUCUGACACUCUGUAUAUAUGUCUUAUCAGCCCCCUCUCUAUAAUGGUUGGGCAUGACUUGUGCACUCAGUCACUAGCUGGAGUUCUGCUUCUCCAGGGAUGGCUUUUCUGCCAACAAGGUCAUUCAUUGGUCACUGCCCUGACCAAUACUGCUAGCCCUAUCCACUACAGAAGGUCUGGGGUAUUAGUUCAUACCAGAGUUUUCUACCUCCCAUUCCUUCUCCAUAGUAAUUGCUGAUGGGAGAUGUUUGGAAGGUAACCUACUGCGGGCCAGUGUUACAUUAAGCACCUAAAACGUACUAUUCCAUGUGAGUGGUACUCAUCCAUCCUGGAUCCCCAGGCUACCUGUCUUCCAAACCCACCUCAGAUGAUGGCCAAAAGCAUGAAGAAAUAUUCCUUUGGCAUGUCGACACAGUUAAAAGGGCCUCAUGGGAAAAGAUAAACCAAGAAGCAACAAACAUGAGAUGUACAUAGAGAAACUCUAGGUUACUGCAACAAUCCUGGGUUGUGGGUCAUAGUUCACAUUGUCAGCGGGAAAACUCAUUGAACCCAAGUUUGUAAAACUGCAUCAGUGGUGAUAAGUUGGAAAAAGUCAUGACUGGUAACGUUGAGUCACAAUUAGUUUCAGAUGGGAGCAGUUUACGGCUAGGCACUACACAUCAGUUCUUUACAAUGUGCAUGAACAUCACCUGGGGCUCUUGUUACACUGUGGAUUCUAACUUAAUACAUCUGAGCUGGGGCCUGAAGCUCUGAAGUUCUAACAAGCUCCCCAAAAAUACUAAAAACCACUGAUCCUCAGGCAGUAGUUUGCAUAGCAAGCCCACACACCACCUCAACACAGGUUUAAAAUGGAAAAAACCAAGUUGACUUACCUCAAGUCUCCUCACGCAUGAAGGUGGCAUUAGAACCUUCCAACCAAGGUGCAUGAUCUUACCAGAUAAGCCAUCGUUCGUGGGGCGGGGAGCAGGAGGAGUCCAAGCCAGCACUGAGUCUCAGCAUGUGAGGGGUUCAAAGCCUGAGAUUAAGUCUCAGCUGUAUAGAAAUCACAACAGGGAAAAAAUGGGCAGCAGUAACAGAAACAGCAACAAUGAAUAAAUAACCCAUGUUAGAACAACAGAAUAAAGUAGCCUGGGUUAUUUGAAGGCAGGCCCAGGAACUCCAGACCCAGGACGCUAGACUCACUAGCACAGAAAAGGCAAACUUUCAAAGUUUUAACAACAAAUAACAGAAAGAAGCAAGUGUAGGCAAACCAACACCGCCAAGGUUAGCAUAGGGUCGCAAAUGUCCAGAAGACAAGCUGGCAGAUUUCCCAGAUAUGGGAAGUGAAUUUACCUGCUCAUCUUCAGCUUCCAGAAGGAACUGAGCAAAGGAAAUCAAAGUACCUAGUGGCAAAAGACAUAGCAGGUCCAGCACAGAAGCCAGCAACGGACGAACUGACGGAGUCGGGAAAACUCAGCAAACGCUCGGCUCUGCUACCCACGCUAAGCUUCGUAAAGUUAUACUGUACGGGACCAAUGAAAAGCCCGUACCCCUUGCGUGGGGAAGAAUCAUCAACACGUGUGAGUUAAAUGGCUCUAGCUGUGAAAACUGGCAAACAGUACGAGGCAAGAAGAACGCUGGUAGAGCCUGGAGUCUCAAACUGAGGUUGCAGAUCAUAGUAUCGGCAUCACCUGGGAACCUGCGUGGGAAUGCAAAUUCUCAACCCCACCCCCUCCACACCUACCAAUCAAAAAUUGCAGGGGUGGCACCCUUAAGCCAAGUUCCGACAAGCCCUCCAGGUGAUUCUGAUUCUGAUGCCUGCUCCUGCUCUAGAGUCUAUUGAAAGCAUGGGUGAAUCCAUAAGGCCAGGUGUGGCAAAGGACAGUCAUUAUAAGUAGUCUUAAUAACAGUGCUUUUAAAGACCCAGUGAAGACUAAAGGCUGUAAAACAGGGAGAAGAAAACCUAGUAGAGAUCACGCAAAAUAAUAAGUAAUAAAACAUGCUCAGUGAUCAACAGCAACAACAACAAAUGUGGAUGAAUGUAAAUUAUAAUAAAAUUACAAGAGAAAAAUCUAAUAACAAGAAUUAACAACCUUUGCCUUUUCAGCUUUUUAUUUCCCAACCACAUAAAUGUGUCUACUGGCAAGGACACCAUUAGGAAUUUUCAAUAAUCCAUAUGUCUCUUUUAAACAUAUUUCUCCAGCAUAGUAAGGUAGACCUCCUUAGGUAGGUAGCUCUUUGUCCAGGAUGGUCAUGCCAUAUAAAUAUAUUUAACAGAGUAUCCAGAGGAUUUGCUAAAAAUCCUAAGCCCAAAACUUGUUUUCAGAAAGUCACAUGGUACAAUAAAAUGGAGAUAGCAAAAAAAAAAUUGAAAAAUUCAAUUUUCAUGUCUAAUCCGAACCAGGAUCUAGAUACUUACUGGAUUCUACAUAAAAUGUCCACAUCUCCCUAAUUUAAGCUUACAAAGCAUACAGGGAUGCUUUUGGUUCUAAGUAACAGAAAUCUUCUUGGGAUAGACUUACAGAGAAAGGGUAUUUGUGUGUUUGUAAAUGAGCAAGCCUAGAGCUAGCUUUGCUAUUUUUCAGGGUAGGUCCUGGUCUUUCCAGAGGUUCGGUAGGGCCACAUGGACCAGAUACGCUCUACUUGACUGCCCAUAUUCAGAUUCCAUGCUCAGGUUUCCCCACUGUGGCAAAUUUGCUUCCAGCGGUAAUCUGAGCUUUCUGCCUACUCACAUGGCCUGGGAUGAGGGGUGUCAGGGGACGAGGAGGAGAGGUCAGGAAGUAAAGAGAGAAGAUACUGAUUCCUGAGAAGGGCAUCCUCUCUCAGAAGUGCCAGCAGGUCUCUCCUACUCUCUCAUUGGCCCAAAAUGCCCUAGACUUCCUCAUCCCUACAAAGGGUGAAAAAAGCAUGGUUAGCCUAAUCUGCUUGGGGAGGGGGAGGGGGACACAGGAAAAUAUUACAAUGCCAAACUUCCUUUUGUGUCAUGAUAAAAAUUUUUGAUGAAAAGAGAGUAUUUGGUCAAUGAAAUAAAUUUUGUUGUUAGGGGAAUUACUUCAUAAUCAUGUGAUUCAAGUUAUGUGUUAGGAAAUUCUUGGCAGCCAGGUAGGAGACAUUUCCAUUUAAAUUAUAAUUUUUAUGUGGCCUGUGAUUAGAUGAUUUUGAUCUCUGGACUUCAGGGAAGAUGGAAACAAACAAACAAAAAAAACACUAAUCAAUUACCAUUCUAUGCAACCAAUUAAAAAUCAAGGCCAACUUUAAAAAACAAAAACAAAGGCUAUAUUAGUAUUUACUGUAUGAAUAUCUGUUCUGUAAUAGAAAAAUGUACUGCAAGUAGCUAAUAUACAUGCACCUCUUUCCAUCUGCCUCAACUAGAAGAGCUAUUUCUCACAAUCAUUCAAAUUAGAAGGCAAGUAAAAUUAGAAUGGAGUGGAAAGCCAACUGAAUUCUACUGAGGUAUGUUCAUAUUCAUAUCACCAAAAAACACAAGUAUGACUUAAUUUGCCUAGGAAUUAAUAUUGGAAAAUGAAAUAUAAAUGCAACUUCUUAGACUGACUUUAAGAAGACCACCAAUACUAUAGAGCCCGAGGAAAACUUUGUAGACCUUUAAAACCCUCCAAGAUGAAUGCACCAUGUUUCAAAGAUAAUAUGGACUUAUAGAUUAAUUUUACAGGUCAAUGAGGUUAUCUGUAAUUUUUACAGAAUUAUUAUUAAUGAAUAUGAGAAAUGCAGCAGGAAGAACAUAUUUAAUUUUAGUAAUCUUAGAUAUUCUCUUAAAAGUUAAAAUUAAACUGUGUUGAACAUUCUCAUGUCACCAGAAAACUGGAUUGAACUACAAAUGAGGAGUAAUGAUGAAUAAUGCUAUUUUACAUCAAAAAAACAUCCAGCCAAGUCAUGAAGGGACUUAUGUUAGGUAUAGUCAGGUUUAAUAUCUACAGCAAUCACCUGGAAAUAGGAGUAAACAUUAUGUUAAUGAAAUUUGCAGAUGAUACUAAAUCGAAGGGUGCCGUUAGCAUGCAUAAUAACAUAAUGGAUAAAGGAUUUUGAAAGAGCAAAUAUGACCUUUUACUUAAAAAAAAAUUAGAUGACUGCAAUGGGUAUAAAGUUUUUUUUCAAGAGUCAUUCUAUGGAAGGAAAAGCAAGGCAUCCCUAACAUUCAGAAAGCUGUUUAAAAAAUAUUUGACUUUGGUAAUAAUGUAAUGGAGUUAAAAACCAAUACAGUAUUUGAAGCCUAGCUAUGUUCAAUUUUCACUUUACGAUGAGAAGAAAACAGUCUUUCUAUAAAGUUUUGAUGAGACUGAUGUUUAAAUAUUGAAAACAAUUUGGUGUUUAUCAAUGCACCCAAGUUUAGGACAAUGGGAUUGAACACAUCUGAAAUGAGAUGGGCAGUAAAAAUGAUUAAGGAGUCACCUGAUGAACUUCCAAGAAAAGAUUAAUCCUGUAGUCUUCAAACCCAAGAAAAGGAAGCACGAGAGAUAGCAUGUUAUAAUUUUCUUCACUAAGGAAUAGUAAAGAAAAGCUCCAUUCGCUCAAAGCGCUAGGUGUUCCUUGGUGUAAUCUACAUGAUCUGAUAUUUCAUUAAAACAACUAUGAUGAGAUCUCUGAUAGAAUGGUAAGUAGGGAGUUGUGUCAAAUUUUGCAACUAUUUACUAUGUAAUCAUUUCAUGCAUUCCAGGGCCACAUGUGAAAAGGAAGGUGAUGAAACAAACAUCAGUUACAAGAGCAAUAACUCCUAAAAGUCAUAUGGCUGUCCAAUAGCAGUCUUGACGAUACUACCUUCUCAAUGAGAGCAGAUGGAGCUUUCCUCAUUCGUUUGUAGGCAUGGCUGCAAGGUCACUGAAGUUGAGAUGAUCCCUCUGACGAAAGCCCAAAGGAAACAACAGCAUUUUGUUUUUCCUGUUCAUCAUUCUUCAAAAGGCUCAUACACAUAUUUUACUCAGUAACAGUUUCAAAAACAGCUUAUUGGUGAAGCAUUUAUUUUUAGUAUGCUUUUGUUUUGUUUUAAUCUUGGAAAUAUUUAUAUCAAAUCAUGUCAAACAUGUCUGCACAAUAGCUGUACAAACAAGAAUCUUGUCCUCUCUAACCUGUUAGUCACCCUUCUGAAGAAGAAUUAAUUUUAGCAAC